rnacentral:rRNA from 1 species
UGGUGGCGUGAGUUGUCUGGUUUAUUCCGUUAACGAACGAGACCUCGACCUGCUAAAUAGUGUAGUGAAUUCUUCGGGAUUCAUCUGUGCUUCUUAGAGGGACUAUCGGUGUGUAGCCGAUGGAAGUUCGAGGCAAUAACA